rnacentral:rRNA from 1 species
GAUGAACGCUGGCGGCGUGCCUAACACAUGCAAGUCGAACGGCAAGACCCUGAGCUUGUGCUCUUCUCGUUUGCGGCAGGCGGGCGUGUGACGCGUGUAUCAUAUCCUUCUCUUUCGGGGAUAAUCACGUAAGUAAGGCUACUAUACUAGCGCAUAUCCUGUACCGUGGUGAGCAAUGGAUAAUGUCAGCUUUCGUGACUGAAAUAGCUGAUGUCGGAUUGGCUAGUUGGCGGGGUAAAGUCCCAGCAAGUCACGGAUCCGUAGCUGGUCUGAGAGGAUGAUCGGCCACACUGGAACUGGGACACGGUCCAGACUCCUACGGGAGGGAGCAGUGGGGAAUAUUGGACAAUGGGCGCAAGCCUGAUCCAGCCAUACCGCGUGGGUGAAGAAGGCCUUGGGGUUGUAAAGCCCUUUUGUUGGGAAAGAAAAGCAGCAGGUUAAUACCCCGCGGUUCUGACGGUACCCAAAGAAUAAGCACCGGCUAACUUCGUG